AUCCAACUGACAAGUCUCAAAUAGGACGAAAUGCACAUCUUGGAU
rnacentral:hammerhead_ribozyme from 1 species